ensembl:lncRNA
CAGAGAGCAGUGAUUGGUCAGACCAUAGAUAAUAUAGAAGACAGCUCGCUAGCGUAUCUAGUCUGUGUGUAUCUAUGGUCGGCACGUCUGGUAGCAUCUCUGGCUGCUGUUGAUCUUGUUUUUGGAGUAAAACACGGUGGAAACUGAAUUAGUGAGGAUGACUCCUGCUCCUGUCAUCUCUAAGCUCCUCACACAUCUUUACCUGCACAUGAGGAAAAUCACUCCUGUAGAAUGCAGAUGUUCAGAGGGAGAUGAUGCCACAUCUGGUCCAGCUGAUGGAAGGUCUUGAAGUUCUCUGACUGGCCUCGACUGAAGAUGGUCGUCUCACUGGAUUUAAGCUGCACAAUGAGGGACGUCUGCAGAGACUGAGAAAGAGUCUCACCACAUCCUGACAUGAGGAAAAAGACUUUAUUGAAGACUACAAUGAGAACAACUAUCAGACAGCAGACGGCUGCAUUCAAGUCUGUAGCUGCUGAAUUCAUGGAUGAAUCAUCUGGCACUAGAGAAGAAGACCAUCAAACAUCCAUGUCAGCUGAUGGAGGUCCAAGAGUCUCAUCAAACAAACAACCUACAGAGUGAAGACCUCAAAUCUGAUUGGACGGCCUCCUAUUCAGCCACGUGCUACAGGAGGAGCCCUACGAGGACGAGCUGGUCCACCUGAUGGCGGCCAGUCGCUGCGGUUCAAAGCCAACACCGACUACGUGGACUUCUACUGGACCACACGGAGGCCUUCAAACCGGACCAACAAGUUCAGUGACUCCCCGACUCGUGGGUCUGAGGACGCCGCCGAGCCUCGGUCCAGCCGGCCUACUGUCUGUGGGUGUUUGAGUGCUGAGAGGUUUGUGGAUGCAUGUGAACGUGUCUGUGUUGAAACAGCAGCUUUUGACUCAGUAACGCUGAGAAAAACCAAGAGCUCCUUUAUUUGUGACUUCCACUAAAAAAAUAUUCCUCCAUACUGACUUUUUUGGUCUACAUUGAAGGAUUUUUCCUAAACCACCCUUUCAGGUCUAUAGUUGAGGUUUUAGGUGGAAUAUUCCUUUUAACCAGCCCCUCUGUCGCUCUGAGGAUUUUGGAUGGAAUACUCGGUUAAACCAACAUUUUAGGUGCAUGUCCAAGGAUUUUUGGUGGAAUGUUCCUUUAAGGUGGAUGUUUGAGGACCUUGUAGGUGGAAUACUUCCUGAAACCAACAUUUUAGGUCAACAUUCAAAGAUUUAAGGUGGAAUAUUCCUUUAAACCAACCUAAAUUUCAUGUUUUGGUCAUUAUCAAGUGGGAAACCUCAAUCCAGACUCCUCAUAAUGACGUUUGAGAUUUAUGCUGCUGUUAUUUGUUUAGUCCAGGCUAAAUGACAGAAAUCCACAACUGUAAUUUUAUUUCAGGACUCGGUUAUUAAAUGUCAAAACAAUCCAUGUGACUCUAAAAACUCAACAGCUUUACAAACUCUAAGAUUAAACUCUCCAC